CCUACGGGAGGCUGCAGUGAGGAAUAUUGGUCAAUGGGCGGAAGCCUGAACCAGCCAAGUAGCGUGCGGGAUGAAGGCCCUACGGGUCGUAAACCGCUUUUGCACGGGGAUAACACCCUCCACUUGUGGAGGUCUGCAGGUACCGUGCGAAUAAGGGCCGGCUAAUUCCGUGCCAGCAGCCGCGGUAAUACGGAAGGCCCGAGCGUUAUCCGGAUUCAUUGGGCUUAAGGGGAGCGUAGGCGGGCGUUCAAGUCAGCGGUAAAAGCGCGCGGCUCAACCGCGCCCCGCAGUUGAAACUGGACGCCUUGAUUUCACAACAGGCAGGCGGAAUUCGUGGUGUAGCGGUGAAAUGCAGAGAUAUCACGAGGAACCCCGAUUGCGAAGGCAGCCUGCCGGGGUGCGACUGACGCUGAGGCUCGAAGGUGCGGGUAUCAAACAGGAUUAGAUACCCCUGUAGUC
rnacentral:rRNA from 1 species